GACGAACGCUGGCGGCGUGCUUAACACAUGCAAGUCGAACGGAAAGGCCCUGCUUGCAGGGUACUCGAGUGGCGAACGGGUGAGUAACACGUGGGUGAUCUGCCCUGCACUUCGGGAUAAGCCUGGGAAACUGGGUCUAAUACCGGAUAGGAGCCAUUUUUAGUGUGAUGGUUGGAAAGUUUUUUCGGUGUAGGAUGAGCUCGCGGCCUAUCAGCUUGUUGGUGGGGUAAUGGCCUACCAAGGCGGCGACGGGUAGCCGGCCUGAGAGGGUGGACGGCCACAGUGGGACUGAGAGACGGCCCAGACUCCGACGGGAGGCAGCAGGGGGGAAUAUUGCACAAGGGGCGCAAGCCUGAUGCAGCGACGCCGCGUGGGGGAGGACGGCCUUCGGGUUGUAAACUCCUUUCGCUAGGGACGAAGCUUUUUGUGACGGUACCUAGAGAAGAAGCACCGGCUAACUACGUG
rnacentral:rRNA from 1 species